CGCCACCCCUAUGCUAUGUCCCCUGCUAGCUUUGCCGCUACUCCACCGUCAUCUUUUCUUUAUUUCUCCUGUUAUCUUUUCCCUCCUUCGUUGGGGCCCAUCUUGUGAGGACAGUGUUUUGGGUAGUUCCCCCUCGAAGAACGAUGCAACCGAAGGCCUGCAAAUGAAUGGGUUAAAAGGACCUGGGCCAGCCUUCUAGAAUGCCUCGUUUCUAGCUCUAAGCCCUCUAGGCUCUCCCUACGCGCCAGGAUGACUCCAUCCUAGCCC
rnacentral:lncRNA from 1 species